rnacentral:rRNA from 1 species
ACGAUCCAAGAUUAAGCCAUGCAUGUCUAAGUAUAAACUUUUAUACGGUGAAACUGCCAAUGGCUCAUUAAAACAGUUAUAGUUUAUUUGAUGGUCAUUUUUACAUGGAUAACCAUGGUAAUUCUAUGGCUAAUACAUGCGCAAAGGCUUCCUUCUUUGAAGGGGCUGUGUUUAUUAAAUACAAAACCAACCCACCUUGUGGAGUCUUGGUGAUUCAUAGUAACCGAACGGAUCGCAGUUGGCUUUCGGGCCCGCGAUGGAUCAUUCAAGUUUCUGACCUAUCACCUUUCAACGGUAGGGUAUUGGCCUACCGUGGCAGUGACGGGUAACGGGGAAUUUUGGUUCUAUUU